GCACCAAUCAUCUUUAUUCUGUGAUCAUGAAUAGGGUCAACAAAGUAACAUAAGAUUGGCUGCUUCUAUCAAAUAUUGAUGUUCUACCUAAUGGAUGGUAGACCGAUCCCCAGAAAGAAGUUGCAUUAAGAAGGAAAUGAGGACUGUAUAGACAUUAUAAAUUAUAAUGCUUUCAUAGGCAACGACAAAAAAAGAAGCACAAAGAAUUCGUCGAUGUUGGUGAGUAUAUAGACAAGUUGGAAGAAGCUAUAAGAAUUCAUUAUUUUGUAGGCCAAUCCCAGAAAAUCCAACUCAUCUGUACAUAAUAUAUGCUGUUGGCAUACCCCCUUAUUUUGGAAUUCAUGAUGGAUAAAUUGAUUAUUUGAUGUCGUCUUGUGAAUACAAAAGCUAGUAUACUGGUUCUACUUGUUGACGUUGGGAGCAACAGAAGAGAUUUUGGCACAGAAGUUUGUCUCAUUAGUCAUUGGUGUUCAAAAUAUGUACGUGAAUGUUCUGGAAAAACAUUCAAUAUAUGCAAUUCUGCAAGGAUCAUACCAAGUAUUGAAGCCUUUCACAGUUUCACUACCAUGUCCAUUAUUUUUCUGUUAUGUUAUCUGAAAUAUGCUUCCCAGCUUUAGGCUUUUAAACAUUAUUUUUUUACUAUAUAUUUUUGGAUAUGGUUAAACAGUUUUUG
rnacentral:sRNA from 1 species